AGCAUCAGGACAUGCGGAUGCAACUUGAUCAGCUACAAGUGGAGUCGGAGGAGCGCCUGCAUGACCUGGGUGAACGGGUGCGGCUACUAGA